CCUACGGGAGGCAGCAGUGAGGAAUAUUGGUCAAUGGACGAGAGUCUGAACCAGCCAAGUAGCGUGAAGGAUGACUGCCCUAUGGGUUGUAAACUUCUUUUAUAUGGGAAUAAAAUGUUCCACGUGUGGGAUUUUGUAUGUACCAUAUGAAUAAGGAUCGGCUAACUCCGUGCCAGCAGCCGCGGUAAUCCGGAGGAUCCGAGCGUUAUCCGGAUUUAUUGGGUUUAAAGGGAGCGUAGGUGGAUUGUUAAGUCAGUUGUGAAAGUUUGCGGCUCAACCGUAAAAUUGCAGUUGAAACUGGCAGUCUGGAGUACAGUAGAGGUGGGCGGAAUUCGUGGUGUAGCGGUGAAAUGCUUAGAUAUCGCGAAGAACUCCGAUUGCGAAGGCAGCUCACUGGACUGCAACUGACACUGAGGCUCGAAAGUGUGGGUAUCAAACAGGAUUAGAUACCCCUGUAGUC
rnacentral:rRNA from 1 species